rnacentral:rRNA from 1 species
GACGAACGCUGGCGGCGUGCUUAACACAUGCAAGCCGAACGGUAAGGCCCUUCGGGGUACACGAGUGGCGAACGGGUGAGUAACACGUGGGUGAUCUGCCCUGCACUUCGGGAUAAGCCUGGGACACUGGGUCUAAUACCGGAUAGGACCACUGCCUGCAUGGGUGGGGGUGGAAAGCUUUUGCGGUGUGGGAUGGGCCCCCGGCCUAUCAGCUUGUGGGUGUGGUGAUGGUCUGCCAAGGAGACGACGGGUAGCCGGCCUGAGAGGGUGACCGGCGACACUGGGACUGAGAUACGGCCCAGACUCCUACGGGAGGCAGCAGUGGGGAAUAUUGCACAAUGGGCGCAAGCCUGAUGCAGCGACGCCGCGUGAGGGAUGACGGCCUUCGGGUUGUAAACCUCUUUCAGCACCGACGAAGCGCAAGUGACGGUAGGUGCAGAAGAAGGACCGGCCAACUACGUGCCAGCAGCCGCCGUAA